UUCUUUUCAAUAAUGUCUAGCUGCCAGUAUGUCAGUGUAAUCAUGCUAAUCCCAUCACUCCAACUGAUACAAAUAAUCUUGCUCAUGGUUUUAUCCCAUAAAACUUGACCACACAAGGCUUUAUGUAAAAGGAACCUUUGGA